rnacentral:rRNA from 1 species
GACGAACGCUGGCGGCGUGCCUAAUACAUGCAAGUAGAACGCUGAAGGAGGAGCUUGCUUCUCUGGAUGAGUUGCGAACGGGUGAGUAACGCGUAGGUAACCUGCCUGGUAGCGGGGGAUAACUAUUGGAAACGAUAGCUAAUACCGCAUAAUAUUGACUAUUGCAUGAUAGUCAGUUGAAAGGUGCAACUGCACCACUACCAGAUGGACCUGCGUUGGAUUAGCUAGUUGGUGGGGUAACGGCUCACCAAGGCGACGAUACAUAGCCGACCUGAGAGGGGGAUCGGCCACACUGGGACUGAGACACGGCCCAGACUCCUACGGGAGGCAGCAGUAGGGAAUCUUCGGCAAUGGACGGAAGUCUGACCGAGCAACGCCGCGUGAGUGAAGAAGGGUUUCGGAUCGUAAAGCUCUGUUGUAAGAGAAGAACGAGUGUGAGAGUGGAAAGCUCACACUGUGACGGUAUCUUACCAGAAAGGGACGGCUAACUACGUG